rnacentral:lncRNA from 1 species
UGUGGACCCUUGCGGGUGUUGGGCAAGACUCUGCUGGCAAGGUAGCCCGGGGCUCGAGUCUCGAGUCGAGCGGAAGGGCCAAUUUUUUUGUCUUAACAAAAAGUGCUUCAGUCCAAAUAAUUUUGGUUAGAAUUAGAGUUCUCAGUUCAAGUUGAAUGAAAGUUACUCAGUCUCUGAAAGGAUUGAAUAUAACAAGGUAUGUCCAGCAUAAACCUGAUUGAAAUAGCUAGGUUACAGGCUUCAAAAUCUAGUACAAAUACCAGUCAUUUCUAUGCACGAGCAAGAACCAGUCUAAGAAGAAAAGUAAGCGAUUCCCCUUAUAGUAGCAUCGGAAGAAUACUGUUCUUGAAACUUUAACAAAAUAAAUUCCAAGUUCAAUCACUGCAGACUAUAAAAUAGGAAACUGUAUGCUUGAACGAUGGAGAGCUACCCUGUAGUGAAGGAGUGGGCUGUUAGCGUGCAGUGCUAACAGCUCUGGCCUGUAAGUAGCAGACUGCUGCUGCCAGGCUAACUGCCAUUCGUGGGAAUGGAAAGGCCACAGUGAGAGCUACAUUUAUGAUAAUUAACCGAGGUGUUAAAAUGGUUCCAUAGAGGAAGAAUAGCCUUAGACACAGGACAACAGGAUAUUUAGCUCCUGCAGGAAGAAGUGGGAUCCUAAACCCUAGCCCUUGGAAGGAGCUCAGAGCUCCCCUCACAGACACACCCAGAACCUAGAUGCCUUGAUGAGUCUAGAUCACCUCAAGGUGAGAGGAAGCACCCCAGAACCCAAGAAAAAUCAAACUAGGUUCACAGGUGUUCGUAGGCUGUGUAUACAGCGGUGAAAAGUGAAGCCAUACGAAUCCCUACAUGGUGAGAAAACGUGUUCCUCAUGUUGGACUAUGCGGUCAUCGAGGGUCAGAGUGCAGAGAGCACAGCAUGACCCGGAUGAACUACAGUAAGUGAACAGAGUGGACAACACACGUGCACACAAACAGCUAUUCUACAACUUCGCUUCUAUGUAAUGCCCAGGAGAGACACAAUUGCAGACAGGCACCACUUAGAGUGCUUCUUGGUACACUGUGGACCUAAUUAAGAAGCCCAAUGUAAUAUGGUCCCUUGGAACCUGGUUAUACGCUCAUACAGUACAUUUGUCCAAAGCCUGAGACGCCUGAGACGUGGUAUACUUAGUUCCUAGCGAACUGUAGUGUAAGCCAAUGGCUACUUAACUGUUAGGGAAAAAAUGAUAAGGAUCUAUUAAUGAUAAGAAAAUCCCAGGUUCCACUGGGCACCUUGUUUCCAAAGGUGAAGUUGUACUGAGAAGGGAGGAAUUGGUCAUAAAAGGCUGUGAGUGUCAAAGACAGUUUGACCAGCAUUCACGUAGCACUGUCAGUUAAAGCAUCUUUCCUUCACGGAUUGGUGAAUUCCAAAUGCUGGCUGGGUCCAUUUCUCCCCCUCUUCCUUUCGCUCUCCAUUUUAAGAUCUGUUGGUCAGAAUUCACCCAGGCAGACUUAGUGAUACCACGCCCGGUGGUCAGCCAGCAGCUGCAGAGAACUUCUGAGACUUCAGUAAAGGGUAAGAGCAGAGUGGCCUGAAGUUCCUCCAGACUCACACUGGCCAGUCAGAGCAGGGAGGGCGUUGGCAGCUGUGGGGCUGAAAUUGUAGAGGGCUCCUUCCUGCUAGGAAAUGUGAUCAUGACAUCCGAGGAACAUGGCGAGGAAGGAGCCAGAUUGGAGGAUCAUAUCGCAACCCCCCUUUCCUUCCCAUCUCACAGGAGAUAUGAAAUGUGAGGUUUCUCUAAUUGAGCACACUGGAAACCUCACAGUGUGAACACUCCACCAUGUCCAGCCAACCCCCUCCCCCAACACAGUGAGGCCGAGGAGAAGACACGAACGCAGAUCUGUGGGUGAGGCCAGUGCCUGAAAGAUUUCUGCUCCACUUCCUUGAGGUCCUGAGAGCCGCUUGGUCCUUCAUCAUUUGAGUAGUUGACGGUUGUGGCUCGCUAGUUAGGCGUUCUAUGGCCAUCCCUUCAUUCAGCCCAUGGGGAAGCUCUAAUGUCGCCGCUCUGUGGACGUGGAGGCUGUGGAGAGGCUCCAGAGUGCAGAUGCAGGAGUCUAACUCCACACUGAUGCUUUUGUCCUCUCAGGCGGUCCUCAAAGACUUGAGCUCGAGAGAUGGCUCAGAGGUUGAGAGCACAGACUGCUCUUCCAGAGGUCCUAAGUUCAAAUCCCGGCAACCACAUGGUGGCUCACAACCAUCUGGUUCCCUUUUCUGAACUGCAGGUCUAUAUGCAGGCAGAAUAAAUAAAUCUUAAAAAGACUUUCAAGUCUGAUGGUGUGAUCAUGAGAUUGACUAAACAAUCCAUUCCUAGAAGUCUCCCCAGCUCUGCAUGACCCAGCAAGAAUGCAACUUUGUCUGUGACCCCCAAGGCUGAGGCUCAUGAAUAUUGAUGAGAUUCAUGAAUAUUGAUGAGGUUGGUGUUCAUAGGCAGUCUUAUGUUCAUACCCAGAGGCCAAUGUAAGAAUUGGCCUUGAUGUUAAGAAAUAUACCAAAUGACAUGAUGAUCUCCCCUGCGUUUAGGGGACGUGGGUGGGGCAGAACUGGAGAGCCUGCUCAGCUGUUAAGAGUGCAUGCUGCUCUUGCAAAGGACCUGAAUUUGGUUCCCAGCACCCUAAUCAAGUGGCUCAUCCCCCCACGCCCCACCCCCACCCCGUUAACUGAAGUUCGAGGGGAAUCCGAGGCCUUUUUCUGGCCUCCUUGGGUACCCACACAUGCACAGACACAUGCAAAUACACAUUUAAAAUUUUUUUCUAAUUUAAACUUUUCAAGAAUUAAAAACACCACCGUCAAUAGUUAUUGUUUAACUGCAUUUUAAGUUUGUUCUCCAUCUUCAAAGUUCUGAAUUUUCUCUUCCCACAUGUACCACAUCUUAAUGUUUCCCUCCGUGUUGUUGGGAUGGGAUCACUUCAGUUGGUCUUGUAAAGUACCAAGAUGACACAGUCCGUGUGAACAGACUAGAGAACCUGUUUUCAGUAGUGUAACCGAUAAAACAAAAUACUGUGACUUACAAUUGUCUUUCCUUUACUUAAAUGCAGGAGUCGAGUUUGUGAGACUGGC